rnacentral:rRNA from 1 species
UACGAAGGGUGCAAGCGUUAAUCGGAAUUACUGGGCGUAAAGCGUGCGUAGGUGGUCUUUUAAGUCCGUUGUGAAAGCCCUGGGCUCAACCUGGGAAUGGCAGUGGAUACUGGAAGGCUGGAGUACGGUAGAGGAGGGUGGAAUUCCCGGUGUAGCGGUGAAAUGCGUAGAGAUCGGGAGGAACAUCAGUGGCGAAGGCGGGUCUCUGGGCCGUAACUGACGCUGAGGAGCGAAAGCAUGGGGAGCGAACAGG